rnacentral:sRNA from 1 species
ACCUAGCCCCGAUUGCAGCGACAUCCUUUUUUUGCUUGAACAAAUGGCAAAAAAAGAUAUAGCGAAAAGCGGGAACACCG